rnacentral:rRNA from 1 species
UGGUGGAGCGAUUUGUCUGGUUAAUUCCGAUAACGAACGAGACUCUAGCCUGCUAAAUAGACGGGCGAUCCCGUUGUGGGUCGACCCGAUUUGCUUCUUAGAGGGACAAGUUGGCGUUCCUAGCCACGCGAAAUUGAGCAAUAACA